GAGUUUGUAUCCUGGCUCAGGAUGAACGCUAGCGACAGGCUUAACACAUGCAAGUCGAGGGGCAUCAUGAGGUAGCAAUACCUUGAUGGCGACCGGCGCACGGGUGAGUAACGCGUAUGCAACCUGCCCUUGAUACCGGGGUAUAGCCCAUGGAAACGUGGAUUAACACCCCAUAGUACUUUUAUCCUGCAUGGGAUGUGAGUUAAAUGUUUAAGGUAGUCGGAUGGGCAUGC
rnacentral:rRNA from 1 species